rnacentral:rRNA from 1 species
AUGGCCUUGCCAGCGAUCCCCGACAAGCUCCUGGUGGACAUAUUCCUCCGCCUUCCCACCCCAGAGAAUCUCAUCCGAGCCUCAGCCGCCUGCGUCUCCUUCCGCCGCCUCGUCGCCGACCGAUCCUUCCUCAGGCGCUUCCGCAAGCUCCACCCCCCGCCCCUCCUCGGCUUCCUCGACCCAAAUUGGCACUGCUUCCACCCCGCCGUCCCGCCUCACCUCUCUGCGCCGGCGGCCAGCGCCGCCGACUUCUCCUUCGACUUCCUCCCCGACUCCUCCCGGGACUGGUCCGUGCUGGAUGUCCGCGACGGCCGCGUCCUCCUCAGCAGACCCCUCCGCGCCGGUAAGGGUCUCAAUGAGAUGGUGGUGUGCAACCUCUUGCACCGGCAGUAUCUCCUACUUCCCGAGCUCCCCCAUGACCUAGUCGCUUUGUGGAUUGACACACUCAUGAUUGAAGGGCCGCGCUUCAGCGGAUCCUACAGAGAGACCUUCCUCGGCCCUCCCGGCGAUGACCAGGAGGCAGCUGCUACGGAGGAGACGUCAGAGUGA